GAAACUAAAUAGGAUUCCCUCAGUAAUGGCGAAUGAACAGGGAUAAGCUCAGCAUGGAAAUCGGGGCCUCUGGUCUUGAAUUGUAGUCUCGAGAUGUACCGCCAACGGAGGCGCAGAUGUAAGCCUCUUGGAAAAGAGCAUCAACGAGGGUGAGAGUCCCGUUUGUCAUCUGCAGUCCCCCGUGCACGGUGUACCUUCUAAGAGUCGCGUUCCUCGGGAUUGGAGCGUAAAGUGGGUGGUAAAUUUCAUCUAAAGCUAAAUAUUGGUUCGAGACCGAUAGCAAACAAGUACCAUGAGGGAAAGGUGAAAAGGACUUUGAAAAGAGAGUUAAAAGUGCCUGAAAUUGCUGAAAGGAAAGCGAAUGGAACCAGUCUUCUUGGCGAGAUUGUUGGGGUCUUCUGCCCUCAGUGGUUCUCGCCUUGACUGUCAACGUCGGUUCGCGAUCGAGGAAAACUCCGAGGACGUGGUAGUUUGCUUCUGGGUGAGCGAAUGUGCUCGGCAGAACUCAUUUGCGUACUGAUCCCUGCGUGUCUGGUUGCAGUGUGCCGUGUCUUUUUCUCGGCUUGCUCUCUUGUGCGUCGGCUUCGAGGAACGAAGUGGGUGUUUGACCGGUGCAACUCCCUGACACAAAGACGAUGACUAAAUGGUUCUAUUCGACCCGUCUUGAAACACGGACCAAGGAGUCUAACAUAUGUGCGAGUUCACGGGCGGGUAAACCUGCUUGCGCAAUGAAAGUGACUGCUGGGAUCUUUGCACCAGCAACCGACCGAUCGAUUGAGUGAGGUUUGAGUAUGAGCAUAUCUGUUAGGACCCGAAAGAUGGUGAACUAUGCCUGAGAAGGGUAAACUCAGGGGAAACUCUGAUGGAGGCUCGUAGCGAUACUGACGUGCAAAUCGUUCGUCAUACUUGGGUAUAGGGGCGAAAGACUAAUCGAACCAUCUAGUAGCUGGUUCCCUCCGAAGUUUCCCUCAGGAUAGCUGGAGUU
rnacentral:rRNA from 1 species